rnacentral:rRNA from 1 species
UACGUAGGGGGCAAGCGUUGUCCGGAAUUAUUGGGCGUAAAGAGCGUGUAGGCGGUCCGGUAAGUCCGCUGUGAAAGUCCAGGGCUCAACCCUGGAAUGCCGGUGGAUACUGCCGGGCUAGAGUCCGGAAGAGGCGAGUGGAAUUCCUGGUGUAGCGGUGAAAUGCGUAGAUAUCUGGAGGAACACCGGUGGCGAAGGCGGCAUCCUGGACCAGCAUUGACGCUGAGGAGCGAAAGCGUGGGGAGCGAACAGG